AAGGUUACAUUUAAAAUGUACUU
rnacentral:sRNA from 1 species